rnacentral:rRNA from 1 species
AUACGGAGGAUCCGAGCGUUAUCCGGAUUUAUUGGGUUUAAAGGGAGCGUAGGCGGAUUGUUAAGUCAGUUGUGAAAGUUUGCGGCUCAACCGUAAAAUUGCAGUUGAUACUGGCAGUCUUGAGUGCAGUAGAGGUGGGCGGAAUUCGUGGUGUAGCGGUGAAAUGCUUAGAUAUCACGAAGAACUCCGAUUGCGAAGGCAGCUCACUGGAGUGUAACUGACGCUGAUGCUCGAAAGUGUGGGUAUCAAACAGGAUUAGAUACCCUGGUAGUCCACACAGUAAACGAUGAAUACUCGCUGUUUGCGAUAUACAGUAAGCGGCCAAGCGAAAGCAUUAAGUAUUCCACCUGGGGAGUACGCCGGCAACGGUGAAACUUAAAGGAAUUGACGGGG